rnacentral:rRNA from 1 species
UACGUAGGGUCCGAGCGUUGUCCGGAAUUAUUGGGCGUAAAGCGCACGUAGGCGGUUUGUUAAGUCGGAUGUGAAAUCCCUCGGCUCAACUGAGGAAGUGCAUCCGAAACUGGCAAGCUUGAGUACGAAAGAGGGUCGCGGAAUUCCCGGUGUAGAGGUGAAAUUCGUAGAUAUCGGGAGGAACACCAGUGGCGAAGGCGGUUGCCUGGAGCUUUGCUGACGCUGAUGCGCGAAAGCGUGGGGAGCGAGUCCGG